AAUAUGUAACGUUAUAUGAUGCGUUUGAAUAAGUUAACUGUUUUAUGGGUGUGUUUUGUCACAUGUACAUACACCCACGCAUCUUUAAUUGGGCGGAUUGCAUGAAGUUACUGACACGUUAGAGUGAGCAAAGAAUCAUGGAUCAAUGAAAAAUUAAGAGCUUGAUUAUUUUAAAACCGCUAUUAGCCGCGAAACAGAACUGAAAUCGUUAAUCCCACAACGGCUUUCUGUGCUUGUACACCGGAGGCACGCGCACGAGACCCACAGCGUCAGCACUGUCUCCUGCCGUUUGAAUAUUAAAAUAUAUACACAAAAUAUGUCGAAAAUGUCCGUCUUAAUUAGCUUAAAUAUAACACAGUGACUUAUGAAUUAAGAGAGUGUAAACUUUUGGGAGUACAUUAGAUUUGAGUCAAUACACUGAAAAAAAGUGCACAUGGCAUGUCAUUACUCUAAAGAAGUCGUUAUAACGUUACUUGAUCUAACUCAAAACAUUACAUUUUCUGUCUAGCCAUCAGUGUUAUGUAAAUAUUUGGUCAAUUUAAAAUUAAAAGAAUGUAUUGUUAGUGUAAAAUAUACAUUUCUGUAAAUUGAAAUUUAAAAUAUUGGUUCCCAUUGUCACGUGAUUUAUAACGUAAUCCGGGGUCAUGCGUGAGGACGUUCAGCAUUCUUGUUAAACCGCAUGGAUGAACUCGGCGUGGUAAAACGUGAAUAAAGAAAAUUGGACGGGGUACUGCUGAACAACAAUUAGGACAGGUUUUGAAUAAUCCAGUCACAUGAAAAACAAGUCUAUUUUCUGUUUCUCUUUCUUACAGAUUAAUGCAGAAUUUUUUCGCAUCACGACCUUACCUCUACAAUCAAGAUUUAUGGCCUCUUUGGACAGACAGACAGCUCUCAGCUUCUCCAGGUUAUUAGGAGCAAAGGUGGAGCCCUCCGUGAGAAAACUAAGGACACUAUUAAAGUUAUGGAUCAGAGUUUGGACAUAGACAUCAGAAGAGAGUGCCUGCUGAAGUGCCUGAUCACAUACCUUGGUGAAGAUGCAAGCUGUCUGAUCAAAGAAUACCAGGCUGACCAGAGGGAGGAAGCAGAGAGAGAAUUUGAAAAGACCACCAUGGCGUUUUUUGUGAUCCGUGAAACUGAUGCUCUUAGUCUUGCACUGGACAUUUCCAUUGUCAUUGACGGUGUGGAAGUACUCAAUUAAUUGCCCUCUGUUGCAUGUGCCUGUGCAUGUGUAUUUGUAUCAGGAUGUUAUUAUGACAAAAUAAACUGUCAAAUGUU